UUCUAGAGAGAUUUGGGGGCUAAUUGUAUCAUCAUCAUUGCAAAUCAAUCUAGUGGUUUUUUCAAGUUCAUUUUGAGUGUGUUCAUCUUUAUUGUUAUACAAAAUCAGAUUUUUGGCUCGAUUUGAUCCUACAAUUUGGUAUCAGAGCUUGGUACUCGAAUUUGGGAUUCAACAAUCUUCAAAUUCAUCAUAAAAAUCUGAUUUUUAUUUGAAAAAGUUUUGAAGUUUUUAGGGUUUUUGAUUUUAUUCACUAUUUCUUCAAAAUCUUGUCUUUAAAAGGUUUGAAACGGUUUGUUUGUUGGUUGAUAAUUGAUACUUUUAUGAGUAAAAUGUUUUAGAAAGGUUUUCAUAUCAGUCAGAACUAUUUUUUCGGAUCAGAAGGUUGUUUUUCUGAUGAAUACGGCUUCCGGCGAAUUUGUGUUUUCCGGCGAAUUUGUGUUUUCCGGCGAAUUUGUGUUUUCCGGCGAAAUUAAAUCUUGAACGCGAGUUCAAGUUCUCCGGCGUAUUUGUUAAAUACGCCGGUAAGUCACGUUUCCGACGUCGUUAUUCCGGCAGUUUAGUUAAAGUCAGCGUAUUUGUUUUUUUUUUAAGAAAGAGUAGAAACAGAAGUAUAUUAAAAAAAAAAAAUUGAAUCUCUUUUAACAGAUUAGGGUUUCUGGCAAUAUUCUCCGGCGCCGCCUUUCCGACGAUCUAUUUCCGACCUCCACUGUUGCCGGGACAACAUCUUCUUUCUCCUGCAAACUUCCAGCCAUAAUUUAGGGUUCCGGCAAGUUAUUCCGGCGCCGCCACGUAUCCGGUGAACUGACUUCAACCAAAACCACCACUAUUUCCGGCCAGCGUCAACAGACAUCAGCUUCAUCAAACAGUUGAACAUCAACUACAUUUUACAUCUAACAUCAACUGCACCUUCAACAAUUUUUAACUGUUAAACAAUUAAAACAAAGAGUUAAUCAAAUUUUUUUUCACAAUUUUAAUCUGUUAUCAUCAACAUCUUCAACCGAGCUCCACCGUACACCCAAACCCACCAGCAAACAUCCGCCGUCUCCUCUCCACACUCUCCGUCUCCGUUCACCGGUCAUUCGCUGCCGUUCAACCCACCACUACAUCCGUCCGCCGUCGUUCACCCCCGCUGUUACACCGUCACCGGAGCUAAAACAUCUUCCACACCCUCCUACUCGCUGCAAUAACCGUCUCGGUACUCUUAACCAACGACUCAUAUUCCAUCAACGGCGGUGACGUUACUCUCACGCGCCACCGCACAUACCCGAAACCACCGUACACUGCCUUUUAACCACCAUCGUAACCACCGCCUCAGCCGACGUAACCACCGUCGCCACCGACCGCCGUCUACGGACUCCGUCAACUCCCUCACUUUCUUCCACCAUCUCCGUUCCGGUCAACACAAAUAGGUAGUACCUACAUCGAUUCCAAUCGUCGGACCUUCACCUUUACCAGCCAUUAUUAUCUGUAUCUAAUAUUUGUGAUCUAAGUUUAGGAGAAUGUGUGUGAGGGUUUGAUAAAAGAGGGAUUGAAAAUCUGAUAAUUUUGUUGUUCUUCGUGAAACAGAGAGAGAGGAAAGAC
rnacentral:lncRNA from 1 species